AGCGAACGCUGGCGGCAGGCUUAACACAUGCAAGUCGAGCGGGCAUCCUUGUGGUGUCAGCGGCAGACGGGUGAGUAACGCGUGGGAACGUGCCCUUCGGUUCGGAAUAACUCAGGGAAACUUGAGCUAAUACCGGAUACGUGCGAGAGCAGAAAGGUUUAUCUGCCGAAGGAUCGGCCCGCGUCUGAUUAGCUAGUUGGUGAGGUUAUGGCUCACCAAGGCGACGAUCAGUAGCUGGUCUGAGAGGAUGAUCAGCCACACUGGGACUGAGACACGGCCCAGACUCCUACGGGAGGCAGCAGUGGGGAAUAUUGGACAAUGGGGGCAACCCUGAUCCAGCCAUGCCGCGUGAGUGAUGACGGCCUUAGGGUUGUAAAGCUCUUUUCUCCGGGACGAUAAUGACGGUACCGGAGGAAUAAGCUCCGGCUAACUUCGUG
rnacentral:rRNA from 1 species